GGAACAUCAGUAAGUAAAUCAAAUUAGUAAGAUUAAAUUUCAAAAUUAUCAUCUUCCUGCCCCUUGUCCGACUCUCCUAGCUUGAUUCCAAUCCUGCCCCUUGUCCAACUCUCCUGGCUUGUCCAACUCUCCUGGCUUGAUUCCAAUCGUUAUUUCAUAAAAGAAGGAUGUUUCUUCUUUUACAAGUUUGUCUAUUAAAAAAGUUUUAGUUCAGCUGAACUCCUUAACUUGCCCAUAGCAAGUUCUUCUUGUUAGUAC
rnacentral:misc_RNA from 1 species